CGGAGGAUCCAAGCGUUAUCCGGAAUCAUUUGGGUUUAAAGGGUCCGUAGGCGGUUUAGUAAGUCAGUGGUGAAAGCCCAUCGCUCAACGGUGGAACGGCCAUUUGAUACUGCUAAAACUUGAAUUAUUAGGAAGUAACUAGAAUAUGUAGUGUAGCGGUGAAAUGCUUAGAGAUUACAUGGAAUACCAAUUGCGAAGGCAGGUUUACUACUAAUUGAUUGACGCUGAUGGACGAAAGCGUGGUAGCGAACAGGAUU
rnacentral:rRNA from 1 species